UGGCUAUGAUUAAACAAUUAUCCGCGCUUCUGAGGUUUCCAAUCGAUGAAGUAGAUUGAUAAUAAUGGUUGAAUUUCUUAAUAUGAGCCA